GUCUUAUGGAAGCUCAUCAUGACUAAGACUUGAUAAGCAACUACACAGAGAGGUCCUUAAAGCCCCUGGGUCCGUUCUGUCCCAGAGUAAACUGCUUAAUUACCACUGAAAUUUCGCUAAUGUUAAACUGUAUUGGUCCUUCUAGUAAUUUUUGUACCUGUCAGUGUCAUUGAGCAACUGCUUUUUGAUGCUCUCUGAAAGUAAACUUUCUUACUUUGUAUUUCUGUGUGUUUGACCUGGACACUCUGCCAAUAUUAUCAUAUGGCUGCAGUGUGGGCAAGUCAGUUACUGGAGGCUUUGUCUACAGGGGAUGUGAAUCACCCAACUUGAAUGUCCUUUAUAUUUUUGGUGAUUUCCUGGGCAGGAAGAUAAGAAGACAAAUAAAUGGAAGAAACAGGAUAUCUCUGUUGGCAGUACAACAUCUUGUGCUUUCCGUGGAAUGAUCAGCUCCUACAGCAAAUUCAUCAUCUCCUUUGCUGAGGAUGAAGCAGGUGAACUGUAUUUUAUGUCUACUUCUUAUCCCAGUGCCUAUACACCAUGUGGAUUGCUCUACAAGCUCAUCGAUCCUGCAAGGUUUGUAAUUAAAGAUGUAUUUCCAUGCCAAAUUCUUCUAUAGUUACCACUCUCCAG
rnacentral:lncRNA from 1 species